CAGCAGCCACGGUAAUACGUAGGUGGCAAGCGUUGUCCGGAAUUAUUGGGCGUAAAGGGCUCGCAGGCGGUUUCAUAAGUCUGAUGUGAAAGCCCCCGGCUCAACCGGGGAGGGUCAUUGGAAACUGGGAAACUUGAGUGCAGAAGAGGAGAGUGGAAUUCCACGUGUAGCGGUGAAAUGCGUGGAGAUGUGGAGGAACACCAGUGGCGAAGGCGACUCUCUGGUCUGUAACUGACGCUGAGGAGCGAAAGCGUGGGGAGCGAACAGGAUUAGAUACCCCGGUAGUCCCUGUCUCUUAUAC
rnacentral:rRNA from 1 species